rnacentral:rRNA from 1 species
GAUGAACGCUGGCGGCGUGCCUAAUACAUGCAAGUCGAGCGAACAGACGAGGAGCUUGCUCCUCUGACGUUAGCGGCGGACGGGUGAGUAACACGUGGAUAACCUACCUAUAAGACUGGGAUAACUUCGGGACACCGGAGCUAAUACCGGAUAAUAUAUUGAACCGCAUGGUUCAAUAGUGAAAGACGGUUUUGCUGUCACUUAUAGAUGGAUCCGCGCCGCAUUAGCUAGUUGGUAAGGUAACGGCUUACCAAGGCGACGAUGCGUAGCCGACCUGAGAGGGUGAUCGGCCACACUGGAACUGAGACACGGUCCAGACGCCUACGGGAGGCAGCAGUAGGGAAUCUUCCGCAAUGGGCGAAAGCCUGACGGAGCAACGCCGCGUGAGUGAUGAAGGUCUUCGGAUCGUAAAACUCUGUUAUUAGGGAAGAACAAAUGUGUAAGUAACUAUGCACGUCUUGACGGUAACUAAUCAGAAAGCCACGGCUAACUACGUG